GACGAACGCUGGCGGCGUGCUUAACACAUGCAAGUCGAACGGAAAGGCCCUGCUUUUGUGGGGUGCUCGAGUGGCGAACGGGUGAGUAACACGUGAGUAACCUGCCCUUGACUUUGGGAUAACUUCAGGAAACUGGGGCUAAUACCGGAUAGGAGCUCCUGCUGCAUGGUGGGGGUUGGAAAGUUUCGGCGGUUGGGGAUGGACUCGCGGCUCAUCAGCUUGUUGGUGGGGUAGUGGCUUACCAAGGCUUUGACGGGUAGCCGGCCUGAGAGGGUGACCGGCCACAUUGGGACUAAGAUACGGCCCAGACUCCUACGGGAGGCAGCAGUGGGGAAUAUUGCACAAUGGGCGGAAGCCUGAUGCAGCAACGCCGCGUGCGGGAUGACGGCCUUCGGGUUGUAUACCGCUUUCGCCUGUGACGAAGCGUGAGUGACGGUAAUGGGUAAAGAAGCACCGGCUAACUACGUG
rnacentral:rRNA from 1 species